UUUUCAUUUUCAGAAAAAAGAGCCCCCUCUCUCUCUCUCUCUCUCUCUUCCUCUUUUUUGAUAAACCCUAAUCGCCACCUCUUCUUCUCUCUCUCUGUCCAUGCUAAAAAUGGCAAAUCUGCAGAACAUAGCAAUUGCAUGCAGCUUUAUUGUGUCCAUUUUGAUGAAAGCAUUUAAUGUUGUACUCAAAUCCGUGAUUUUGAAUCAUGAAUAUGGUAAUGAAUCGAUUUUCUUGUUUUAUUUUACUGUAUUAUGCUAAGAUUUACACAUAUUGUUUUUGUAUUUUGCUUAAAUUUCAUUUGUUGUGUUUGAAAGGGUUGGAUCGAAGUAAGAAAGGUUCAGCUCUGACUGUAUAUGUGCUUGAGAGGCCAUAUGAGGCGUAGAUCUGGUCUUGAAGUCCAUUUUUUCUGAAAAUGCAUUUGUCCCACAUCGUUUACUUAGAGUUUUAAGCGAUUUUUUGGGGUUCUAUUUAUAGAUACCCACCCCCCUUUAAAACAGAGAAGUCUGAAAGUUGAAAAUUUUGAAAAGGGUAAAGAGAGGCUUUUUUCUAAAAGAAAAUUUGAGUCUCAAAGUCAAAAAUUUUAAGAGUCUUUUCAGCUUUCAAGGAGAAGUUAAAAGAAAGGCCAAAACUUUGAAUUUUCGAUCCUUUUUUAGUAAAAUUUUAAGACUUCCCUAAGUGUGAGGUCUUUAUGAGUUGAAAUUUUUUAUUUCUUUCUUUUUGUUCGAGUGUGUGUGGCUGGGUUGGAGUUUUGGAAGCACUUAAGGCUUUCAAAUUCGUUUUUGAUCAGGGCUACACCAUAAAAAGAGUCAAAGGCCCAAGAGGAAUAUUCUUUCAAACUAUUAAGUCUAAAAAUGGAAGCUAAUAUUAUGAAGGCCCAGCCAUGGGUGAAAAUGGCACGAAGGCCCAACCAUGGGUAAAUAUGACCUUUAAGGGGUUUGGUACACCCCUAACUCAUUUCCUUUUCCCCCUUUAAAUUUCAGCAUGUCAAUUUGUUUUUCUUAUUUGAAAUGUUGUAUUUGUAUAAACUCACAUUAUUAUUGGAAUCUUUACAUUUUGAAUUAGGCAUCUUAGGUGAACGGUGCAUAUCCCAUUUAGUUAGACCUUAGGCCCCAACACAAUUUUUAAACCCGGAUUAGCGUAAACAUUUUUUUUUUUAAAAAAAAGGAAACAAAAAUGGCUAGUCCCAUUUUUUACAAAAGAUAACGUGUUGCUAUCAUUUUUCCUUAAACCGGACGUGUCUUUACAAAACUUUGAAAAGAAAUGCCUUUUUCAACUAAGUUUCAGUCCUCUUUCAAAAACAAAUCCUAUUUUUUCCAGGCGAAAAGAAUUAGGUUUUUAAAACUGUGUGAAUAGUAUGCUUUUACAAAACAAGCUCUAUUUCUUCAAACUAAAAAUCAGACGAAGGCAUGGAUUUUUUUAGAAUUGCGUAAAUAACAUGCUUUAUAAAAAAUAAGCUCUGCCCCUUUUUAAACCAAAAUCAGACGAAUCAAAAAUGAUUUUAGACAUAUAUAUAUAUGUGUGUAAAUCGCUUGUACUAAGCUAUACAUAUUAUUUUUUGGAAACAAAUUAAGGCAAGUUAUAGAAUUUGAGGGCCAAGGCCCGACCCAAAAAGUCGUGUUUCAGGCCUCAUCUAACCAAUUUUUUCGGAUAAAGUAAAACACAAAAUAUGUUUUUGGCUUAGCCUAAGGAAAAAAUGGCCUUUGGGCCAAAAAAAUAAACAAACUCUAAUCAUUUUCAAAAGAAGGCGAGAUUUUGGGUCUAAGCCCAAGACAAAAAAUUGUUCUUGCAUUAUAUGAGCAAAUCAAAGGAUUGAAGGCAAAAUUCUAGGAAUCAAGAUAAUUAAUUUGAUUAUAUACACCAACUCUUGCAAAAUCUGUGCAAACUAUUUUUUUUAAGAAAAAUGAGCAAAGUCCUAAGUAAAGGUGUUCUAAAAACGUACUAAACGGACUAAUCCGGACCAUGUAUGAGUCUAAGCAUGAACGAAUUUCAUUUACUCCGAACUUUAAAACAACUUUUACCUUUACAAAACAAUAUUAUCCUUAUAUGUAAAAGGAACUAAU